GAUGAACGCUGGCGGCGUGCCUAAUACAUGCAAGUCGAGCGAAUGGAUUAAGAGCUUGCUCUUAUGAAGUUAGCGGCGGACGGGUGAGUAACACGUGGGUAACCUGCCCAUAAGACUGGGAUAACUCCGGGAAACCGGGGCUAAUACCGGAUAACAUUUUGAACCGCAUGGUUCGAAAUUGAAAGGCGGCUUCGGCUGUCACUUAUGGAUGGACCCGCGUCGCAUUAGCUAGUUGGUGAGGUAACGGCUCACCAAGGCAACGAUGCGUAGCCGACCGGAGAGGGUGAUCGGCCACACUGGGACUGAGACACGGCCCAGACUCCGACGGGAGGCAGCAGUAGGGAAUCUUCCGCAAUGGACGAAAGUCUGACGGAGCAACGCCGCGUGAGUGAUGAAGGCUUUCGGGUCGUAAAACUCUGUUGUUAGGGAAGAACAAGUGCUAGUUGAAUAAGCUGGCACCUUGACAGUACCUAACCAGAAAGCCACGGCUAACUACGUGCCAGCAGCCGCGGUAA
rnacentral:rRNA from 1 species